rnacentral:sRNA from 1 species
UGAGAGAGAGAGAAAGAGAGAAAGGUAAAAGGAGAGAUAGAAAGUGCUAUGAGUUGUAAGACUAUAAACUCAAUUUAAAAAAAUACAUAAAAAUCCAAAACAGAUUUCCCAACAGUAAUGCUUUUAUUUAAUAAACAAAAAAUGUGUAAACAUUGCACAAGUAUUAUCAAAGGUUGCAAAGAGAUUUUUCCAAUGUGUGUAUCUAGCCAUUUGAUUCCCUAGUACUAUGACUGGAGUCUAUGUUAGAUAACUCUAUUCCAACAGCCCUGAGUUAGAAAGUGACUUCUAAAGUAUUGUUAAAGGGGAAGUAAUAAGAGUGACCUUCAGAAUACAACUGUUACAUACGAGACUAGUAGUGAUGAACUAUUAUUAUCUUUUAGAAGGAAGAAGGUAAGAUGCAGGGGAUAACUUUUGUGGAAAAGACAUGAAAUAAGGACUACUCUAUAAGCGUAUGUAUCAGUAAAUAUAUUCAAAUAUUUAUAUACAUUCAUUGAACAUUCUGCCAAGAAAUUAAUGUCACAAUAUUCACAUUAUUAUACCAUAUGACGGUUAUUCUGUUGGGUAAUUAUUUGAACAGAUCCAAUGAAAUUUAUCACACAUAGCUAUCACAAGGCAUUUCUCCUUCCCCUAGUGCAAAGCAAUGAACCACUAACAAAACAAGAGCCAUUACAGUUAGGAACUAUAAAUAGUAUACACAGUUUAUAAAACAUCCAGUUUAUAGAGGAAUCAUCAGCAAAAGUAGGUCCUGAACAAAAUGUACAACAGAAUGCAAACUUUGAUCAAUAAUCAACAAAAUAUAAACUAAAGCAAAGUUAAAUAAUUAGUUUUCAUAUCAUUAAAAACCUAGGAUAACAUAAAGCAUAAUUUCAUAUUCAUUCAAUGAAAACCAGAAUGCAAACAUGCUAAGGCAAAGACAAAUAUUAUGAAUCAUAACUCAAAAUGCGUAGAUGGAGGUUUGUCAAAUGUACAUGUCAUUAUUUGUAUAUUUCCACAAUUUUAAAUCUAAUAGUGAAUAAUAAUUUGUCUGCCAAACAAUUUAGUUUUUCACAAGAAUUUCAUUAACAAAAAUUGUAAUAAUUAUUUCCUUUAUUUUAGCAAAAAAUAUAUGUUAAAGCUUUAAAUUCAUUUUAGGUAAACAAAACAAAAAAAUAAACAGCAAUUAUUUUAACUGUCAUUUUAAAUCGUAAGAACAAAUUGAACCUUAGAAAUAGAUAUGUACAUGAUUUCAUUUCUUAUAGUACAUAGAGAGAGAAAAUAAAUUAUAUAACAUGUCGAUAACAAAGUCAUUUAAAUAUUUUAAUAACUCAUUCUGAAUGAAAAUUCAUUACAUUUGCAAUUGUAUAGAUCAGAAUGGAUUAAUAAGGUAAAAUGAUGAAAAUAAUUAAAUAUUAUUUUUAAUUACAAUAGGUAGACAAUGUGCAUGCUAGUUCAAUACUCUACAGUUCUCACCUUACAACUGUUCCUAUACUGAAAGCAUGCAAAUCAAAGAACAAAUAAAGAAAACUGAACCAAUAGAAUUGAUCUAGUUUCUGGUUAAGGGAAGACAACUUUGUUAAGAUCUGCUCCAGCUAAGAUGUAAAGAGUGUAAACUGCCCUUGACUAUUCCAGCAGGUGUGUAUGGAUAUCAUGGAUUACCCAAUAAGUUUCAAUGUUCUGAAUCACAAUAAGUAUUAAUCUUAUUUUCUUUAUACUAAAUUAUAUCAGCACAAACACACAAACAUAGUAAUACUGAUUUCACUGAUUCAAUAAUCAACAUUUUGUUAAUAUCAUCAUGUAUUAGGAAAGGAAACAUCAAUUUGAAUCAAAGUAAACAAGCAUUUAGACUAAACAAAGCACACUUACUGACCCCUAACCACACAUUAAAAAAAAACAAACAAUUAAACAAAACACACUGAACCUAACCACACAUUCAAGAAAAAAACAAUUAAACAAAGCACACUGACUGACCCCUAACCAUACAUUAAAAAAACAAAACAA